AUGACUGUGAUGUUCUUUUCAGACUGUGUGUUCUUCCUGAAAUUAAAUGACUUAUCUUUUGAUGAGAGGAAAGCGAUAAAAUUCAUAAUUACCUCGAAUGGUGGAGUUAUAUCCUUUGUGCUAAAUCAAAAGUGCACACAUGUUGUGGUGAACGCCAUUGGCUGUUUAAGUUCUGCUCAGCAGAAGAAUGCCCAGAAGCAUCAGAUUCAGAUUGUGGACAGUCAGUUUAUAUGGCAAUGUCUAGAAAAGAAGUGUCUUAUCCAGGACUAUCAAUAUCCGACUGCUGGUGUCAAACCAAGUGAGAAAGAACCAGAAGGCUGGCAAGAUCCUGAAAAAACUGUUGUCCGUGGAAAAUUCCCAACCCUGCAGAACAUGAAUGAAUUGGACAGGGAUUACAGUGAGUAUGAUGCAGAAAUCUUCACCAACCCUUCAGAUACUGAAGUAGCAAAAUACAGUUUUUUUCAGAACGGUCCCAAUGUGGCAGUUCUGGAGCUGCUGUGCUUUACAGAAUCCUCUUCAUUACUAUUUAAAAUAUCUAAAAUCAUUUGUGAUUCCAAUGGAUCUGAGCCUGACAGCUCCUUUAUGUUCGCAAACACAGCGGAGGCGGCUUGUAACAAGUAUGAGAAGUGCACUGAGGAUUUAGAAAAAGAAGGCUUUAAGAGAGCAAAGCGUAUCCCACCAAAGGUUGCCCUGCUCACAUCUGAGGCUCUGCGGAAGCUCCUGCUUGAAGAAGCCAUAAAUGCUACCAAGUUAUCUCCAGAUGUUGGAUAUUUUGUUGAAAGUGUUUGGAUUGAGGCUCUUGGCCAUUUGGAUAACAUCCUCUCGCGUCCCGUAAACAGCAUCAGUCUGAAUGAUGUAAGCAAAGCAGAGGGUGUUCUGCUCCAGGUUAGGAAAGCUUUUGACACAGGAACAGAACCUGGAGACAUAAGGAAAGCAAUGGCUGAGUUUUAUCGGCUCAUUCCCCAUAAGAAACCUCUGCAGGCCAACAUUAAUAAGAAACUUUUGUCAACAAAGCAGGAUCUGUGCCAGCUUAUUAGAGAUAUGGUGAGUGUAUGUGAAACCAACUCAUUGAAGCCAAACCCAAGCAGCCUUGCCAAAUACCAGGCCCUGCGAUGCCAAAUAGAGCAUGUGGAGCCCAAUACUGAGGAAUUUCAUCAGGUGUCACAGCAAAUUAUGGAGAACAAACACUGUGAGGAGUCAAUUAACAUACUGAAAAUAUUCCGCGUUGGGAAAUUAAGUGAAGCCACUGGGUUUCAAAAGAAUCUUGGGAAUGUCAAGUCCCUGCUCCAUGCAUCUUCCCCACGUCACUUUGUGGGGAUCCUUUCCCGUGGACUGCUCUUGCCAAAAAACGUGGAAGAUGAUUUGGGUUUGGAAAGAACUGAUAUUGGAAAUCUUGGAAGUGGAAUUUACUUUAGUGAUUCCAUAAGUACAAGUGUUAAAUAUUCGGAACCCAGUGUAACCAAUGGGGCGCGUCUCCUGUUGGUUUGUGAGGUGGCUCUGGGGAACUGCAAGGAUCUCUACAAAAGAGACUUCUCCCUUACUGGAGCUCCAAGUGGCUUUAACAGCGUUCAUGGUGUCCGACAAGUGCCACGGAGAAAAUCGGAUUUUGAGGACAAUGAAUUUGUGGUGUAUAGGAAGGAUCAAAUAAAAAUGAGAUAUGUCGUGCAGUUUUGCACUGCUAUUGACCAAGUCAACAUGGAACACGAUAAACUACAUGAUCAGGUUGAGCCCCUGGAGAAAGAUAUUGGAGAACAACCAGUGCAGGCAGAAGCUCCCAUGUUGGAAAAUCUUCCGGAACCACAGAGCAUAAAUGGCGGCCUCCAGAGUGUUCAUGGCAACCAGAUCCCUUUAAAAAAUAUUGACGUUAAAGGCAGAAUUAUAGAUUUUGUCGCAGAGAUUAAAAUAUUCCAGACCUACAUAAACAAAUCCUCUGUUCCCAUCGAGGCUAAAUAUGUUUUUCCCCUGGACGGCACAGCCGUGUGUGGCUUUGAAGCAUUUAUAAAUGGAAAACACGUUAUCGGAGAGGUUAAAGAGAAGGAGCAAGCACAUGAGGAGUACAGGGCUGCUAUCAGCGAGGGACAUGGGGCUUACCUUAUGGACCAGGACGCUGCUGACGUCUUCACUGUAAGUGUCGGAAACCUGCCCCCAAACGCCAAAGUAAUCAUUAAAAUCACGUACAUAACGGAACUGAAUGUGGAGCAUCGAAGAGUGACUUUCAACAUUCCUGGCACAGUGGCAUCUUGGCAAAAGGAUAAAGCCCUGAAAGAAAAUACUCAGGAUACAGUAGAAAAAAUCGGUAUUGAAGAAAGUGGCGUAGCACAAGGUUGUUUCUCUCUGGAGAUGUCUGUUGAGAUGUCUUUCAAAAUCGAGACUAUAUCAUGCUUCACUCACAAGAUUUUGAUGAAAAAAACGGAUUGCACAGCUGUGGUUGCAACAAAAACACCCAGUUCAUGGGACGAUGAAGGGUUUCAGCUCUACGUCCUACUGAAAUGCUCCAGCCAGCCAAGAAUGUGGGUAGAAAAACAUCCUGAUGAGGACAGUGAGGCAUGCAUGCUUGUGUUCCUGCCUAGUUUUGAGACAAGCAGACAUUACAGGGAUUUAACCAUCUUACUUGAUUGCUCCAAUUCUAUGGAAUCCACUUUCCAAACUGCAAAAUUGAUUGCUCUGCUUGCAGCCAGCUCGUUAAACCCAUGGCACAACAUAAACAUAAUCAGCUUUGGUACAGGUUAUAAGGAGUUUAGAAUCCGUCCAAAGGAGAACAAGAACUUGUUACCAGAGGUGGAACAGUUUAUUAAAAUGGCCAAACCAAACAUGGGAAACACGGAACUUUGGAAGCCUCUGCAGUCCUUAUGUUUGCUGGCUCCUCCCAGUGACAUGCACAAUGUUCUGCUUAUAUCUGAUGGACACAUCCAGAAUGAGAGCCUCGUCUUUCAGAUCCUCAAAAAGAAUGCAGGGAAAGUGCGGCUAUUCACCUGUGGCGUUGGUGCAACAGCCAAUCGCCAUAUGUUGCGGUGUUUGGCUCGGUACGGUGCUGGGUUCUUUGAAUUUUUUGAAGAUAAAGCUAAGUCCAGCUGGAAAAAAAAGAUGGAGGCACAACUGCAAAAAAUGGAUUCCCCUGCAUGCACUAGUGCAUCUGUUAAAUGGAUGCAGUUCAGUGAUAAUGACCCAGAGCCCGUUCAAGCCCCAGCACACAUACCGGCUUUGUUCAACCCUUGUUGCCUUCUUGUUUAUGGCUUUGCUCAUCACUGCACCCAGGCCAAGCUACAAGCUUUAAUUGAUGACAAUGAACUGGACACUAUGGUAUCAACUACGGAAUUACAGAAGACCAGAGGAACGAUGCUUCAUAAACUGACGGCAAGGGCUGUUAUUAGGGAUUAUGAAGAUGGAAUCCUGCACGAGAAAGAACAUGAACAUGAAAUGAAAAAGCAGCAAAUGAAGUCCUUUAUUAUUGAGCUGAGCAAGAAGUACUCAAUCAUCACUCAGUUUACAAGCUUUGUCGCUGUAGAGAAACGGGAUAAAAAAAAGAAAUCAAAGGACUAUGUCCCAAAUGAGUCUGUAAUAAUAUCUGCAGUUAAUAUAUUACCGUACAUGACAUGGGAAACACAGGAAGGUGACCAGGAAGCUGCUCUGCAGGAAGAAGAGUUGGCGGAACAAGCUAGAGAUGAUAGAGCGGAAGGGAUACAGGCUAUUGCCGAGAUUAUGAAGGCUAAUGCUUCCUUAAUUGUGGAACCCAGUUACUCGCUAGCAGACCCAGAAUUUGAACUUAAACGUGAAGGAGCCCCUCCAUCUUUGUUCUCCUUUUGGGGUCUACAGUUUAAGGCUGGCCCCGGAGAUCCGAAGACAGAUGAACCCACUCCUGUUAGCAGAAAAAUGCACCGACCCGGGGUAUCGGGAGGGAUACUGGUUGCUGGAUGAAGAGCUCGGAUCUCUAUUGAACAUUAAUGUCAAUUACUUGAUAGAUGUGUUUUUAUCCAAGAACGGGAUUCAGUCUCUUGGGAGGAAAGGAAAAGAAGAGGUGCUGGCACUUAUUGCGACCCUCUUGGUGCUGCAAAUGAUUCGCACGUAUAAGUUGGUGGACAUAACAUUUAAGAGUCUGAUGAAACUGGACGAAUCAUUUUGCACAAGCCCCUUUUACCAGAUGCUCGAGAAAUCCAUCAAAUGGGCACGAAAAAAAGAUGAACAAUAUCCUGGCAUCUGUUCUCGACUUGGAUUGGGCAAGGAUUGGGAAUCUGCCACCCGGAAGUUAUUAUCCAUUGAUCCAGUGGAUCCUUCCUCUGAUCUCUAUCCUGCUGUUGUGUAAUCUGU